CCUAGGAGCAGGUGAGCUCCUGGGGAGUGUGGAUGGGAGGUGCAGGGGGCCGGACUCAAGCCCAGAAGCUGCGUGCACCAACCACCCAACUUCUCUCCACAGCCCUGGAGCCCACCUCCCAGAAGCCCGGUGUGGGGGCGGGCCAUGGGGGAGACCCCAAGCUCAGUCCCCACAAAGUUCAGGGCCGGCCGGAGGCAGGGGCAGGUCCGGGUCCAAAGGUAAGUCGCCUCAUCACCGGCUGCGGAGGGGCGGGAAGGGUGGGGUUGCCCCUGACCCCAGGGUCCUGCCUUGGGCUUCCAACUUCGGGGGCUGGGUAAGGGGCACCGCCUCACUGCCGCACCUCCAUCCAGCAAGGACACCACAGCUCUUCCGACUCUAGCAGCAGCUCCAGCGACUCGGACACGGAUGUGAAGCCCCACGCUGCUGGCUCCAAGCAGCACGAGAGCACCCCAGGCAAGGCCAAGAAGCCCAAAGUGAAGAAGAAGAAGGAGAAGGGCAAGAAGGAGGCUCCCCACUGAAGGGCCCUGGACAGGGCUCAUUAAAUCUUCCUCUCUGCCUUC
rnacentral:sRNA from 1 species